GGUGGGGUUCCCGAGCGGCCAAAGGGAGCAGACUGUAAAUCUGCCGUCAUCGACUUCGAAGGUUCGAAUCCUUCACCCACCACCA
rnacentral:tRNA from 2 species